GACGAACGCUGGCGGCGUGCUUAACACAUGCAAGUCGAACGAAAGGCCCUGCUUUUGUGGGGUGCUCGAGUGGCGAACGGGUGAGUAACACGUGAGUAACCUGCCCUUGACUUUGGGAUAACUUCAGGAAACUGGGGCUAAUACCGGAUAGGAGCUCCUGCUGCAUGGUGGGGGUUGGAAAGUUUCGGCGGUUGGGGAUGGACUCGCGGCUUAUCAGCUUGUUGGUGGGGUAGUGGCUUACCAAGGCUUUGACGGGUAGCCGGCCUGAGAGGGUGACCGGGCACAUUGGGACUGAGAUACGGCCCAGACUCCUACAGGAGGCAGCAGUGGGGAAUAUUGCACAAUGGGCGGAAGCCUGAUGCAGCAACGCCGCGUGCGGGAUGACGGCCUUCGGGUUGUAAACCGCUUUCGCCUGUGACGAAGCGUGAGUGACGGUAAUGGGUAAAGAAGCACCGGCUAACUACGUG
rnacentral:rRNA from 1 species